rnacentral:rRNA from 1 species
AGAGUUUGAUCCUGGCUCAGGAUGAACGCUAGCUACAGGCUUAACACAUGCAAGUCGAGGGGAAACGACAUCGAAAGCUUGCUUUUGAUGGGCGUCGACCGGCGCACGGGUGAGUAACGCGUAUCCAACCUGCCCACCACUUGGGGAUAACCUUGCGAAAGUAAGACUAAUACCCAAUGAUAUCUCUAGAAGACAUCUGAAAGAGAUUAAAGAUUUAUCGGUGAUGGAUGGGGAUGCGUCUGAUUAGCUUGUUGGCGGGGUAACGGCCACAAGGCGACGAUCAGUAGGGUUCCGAGAGGAAGGUCCCCACAUUGGAACUGAGACACGGUCCAAACUCCUAAGGGAGGCA